GGAGGGAGUGAUGCGUUAGUAGGUGAAACUCAUAUCCUACGGGAAUAAGAAGGUGGAGAAGCAUUAGGAGAAGUAUGAGCCCGAUAAGUAGAUGUCUCUAUUUGGCCAGAAUGAACAGGAGCCUCCAAAACCUAACUUUUUGUCGCCGUACUGAUGCAUGUCGUGAAAUCCUUUUGUGCCUCAUCCUAUCGUGUCUAUCAGCCACAAUUCCUAUAAGUUAAAGUAAAC
rnacentral:lncRNA from 1 species